rnacentral:rRNA from 1 species
UACGUAGGACCCAAGCGUUAUCCGGAAUUACUGGGCGUAAAGAGUUGCGUAGGUGGUUUGUUAAGUGAAUAGUGAAAUCGUGCGGCUCAACCGUAUAUCCAUUAUUUAAACUGGCAGACUUGAGUAUGGUAGAGGUCACUGGAAUUCCAAGUGUAGGAGUGAAAUCCGUAGAUAUUUGGAGGAACACCGAUGGCGUAGGCAGGUGACUGGACCAUAACUGACACUGAGGCACGAAAGCGUGGGGAGCAAACGGG